CAUGCAAGUCGAACGGCAGCACGGGUGCUUGCACCUGGUGGCGAGUGGCGAACGGGUGAGUAAUACAUCGGAACAUGUCCUGUAGUGGGGGAUAGCCCGGCGAAAGCCGGAUUAAUACCGCAUACGAUCUACGGAUGAAAGCGGGGGACCUUCGGGCCUCGCGCUAUAGGGUUGGCCGAUGGCUGAUUAGCUAGUUGGUGGGGUAAAGGCCUACCAAGGCGACGAUCAGUAGCUGGUCUGAGAGGACGACCAGCCACACUGGGACUGAGACACGGCCCAGACUCCUACGGGAGGCAGCAGUGGGGAAUUUUGGACAAUGGGCGAAAGCCUGAUCCAGCAAUGCCGCGUGUGUGAAGAAGGCCUUCGGGUUGUAAAGCACUUUUGUCCGGAAAGAAAUCCUUGGUUCUAAUAUAGCCGGGGGAUGACGGUACCGGAAGAAUAAGCACCGGCUAACUACGUGCCAGCAGCCGCGGUAAUACGUAGGGUGCGAGCGUUAAUCGGAAUUACUGGGCGUAAAGCGUGCGCAGGCGGUUUGCUAAGACCGAUGUGAAAUCCCCGGGCUCAACCUGGGAACUGCAUUGGUGACUGGCAGGCUAGAGUAUGGCAGAGGGGGGUAGAAUUCCACGUGUAGCAGUGAAAUGCGUAGAGAUGUGGAGGAAUACCGAUGGCGAAGGCAGCCCCCUGGGCCAAUACUGACGCUCAUGCACGAAAGCGUGGGGAGCAAACAGGAUUAG
rnacentral:rRNA from 1 species